UUAGCAUCUCUCUGACUACUCCCAUGUAUUUUUGCCCUGGGAGUGACUGUGCCUGUGUUUGGAGCCUUCCUGCACCUGCCCUGAGAAGUGGCAGCUUUGUCUUCCAUGUCCUCUGUGCGGGGUGGCUGUCUGGCAGCAAAGUUUUAUUAUUUGCCCAUCUGUGAGACUGCUGUCUCGGGCAUUUCAGCAUCUUUAUGGACCUGUCUUUCAGGACCUUCUGCUUCCUCUCGUUACUUAUUUAUUGCAUUUAGCUGCUUAUUUGGCUGACAGUGCACUGUCCGUCCUUGUAUACCUUAUACCCUCCGAUGCGCCCCAUACAUUUUAAAGACAAUUUUAUUAAAAAAAAUAAAAGUAGGUGUGUUAAAUAACGAUUUGUCUGGCCAAGACCUCAAAGGAAGAUUUAGCUGAGCUACAGUGUGAGCUUGAUGCUGUUGUGGAAGCUGAGGCAGUAUUUAGUUUUCCUUCUGCAACGUAAUUUGUUGCAGCAUACCCAAACAAUUGCCAUUGAGAUGCUGGGCAAGCAAACAAUGAAGGGAAAGCAAUCCACCAGCAAUUUAACACUUUCUGAUCUCCAAACACUCAUCCAGGUGUGUAAUGCUGGCAUAUUGGUUGACACUGUGAGUUUAAUGCAAGCACGUAUUUAAGGGGUCACUGUUUUGUUCUUUGAUCUUCAGUGAAACACAGCUGAAAUAACACGCAGGGACUUCUGGGCUGCUAGAAGUUUUACACAGAACCUACUGCAGAGUCCUUUUCCUCUGGAGAUGGAUGAUCUACAAUGACUAUCUAUUUCUUUCCCUGGUAUUACUAAUGUGAAGUGUAUAUUGAGUAUUGCUUUGUGAGAAAUCCUUUGAUACUUUUGUUAAACAUUGUCCUUUGCUAAAGCUUUAUCUCUAGCAACAAAUCUGGUGUGUUUUGUACAGACGAAAUAAGCGAUAAAGCAGCUUAUUCUGUUAAAGGAGACCAUUCACAUUUAAAAUGAGAUUAUUCUUUACAAGAAACGCGGCUUAUCUGUCCUAGAGAGAGGUUCCUUCCUCUCCUCAGAUAUCGCCCUGAAAAGCACAACAAAGAAGCAUCUCUUCGGAGAUCUUCCUAAGGCAGCGGCUACCAAACCAUAAGAAAUUCCCCAGAGCUGCCAUCUCAGCGCUUCUCACAGCUGCGCCAUCAGUUCCAGGGCCGUGCCCGGAAGGGUCUGAAAAGCCCCAUCCCCUUAGGUGUGCUGUCCUGAUUCAACCCAGGGCACGGGCCCGGGUGAGAGGUGCUAACAGAAAAGUCACCUAGAACGGUGGGUAUUAUCCAGUACUGCUUCUUCAUGGUGACAGCAAGGUACAAAAAGUUCGAGGAACUUCAGGGAUGGCAGGCUAAAGGACUGAGGCGCAGGCAGCGUCCUCCCAUCCCCUUCCACCAGCAGGGAACAACACUAAAAGGCACAGCUGAACGGACUGCGGCUCAGAGGCUGCUGCCACGGGGAGACGGGGCUUCUCUGUCACGGGAUCGACCUUCACAACCCCGGGCCUGCCGGGCGCGACCCUUCUCGGAGGGCAGGGCCCGCCCGCAGCCAGCCGGGCGCAGCUCGCGGCCACUGCGGCGCCAGGAGGGGCAGCGCAGAGGCUCGAGCCGCACCGCCAUGGCGGCGGAGGGGCGGCCCGGCCGUAGGGCGGCAGUUCCAGAGCCGGAGGGACGGUUAGGCUCCGCCAGAGGGAGCCGGAGACCGCCGGCCCGCGGCUGAGCUUUUGACCUGGAAUUUGCCACAGUGCUGAUCUGCUGCCUUUCUGAAGGUGAAGGUUGGGUUUGUCAUCUCUGGAAUUAAUAACACCUGUGUGAGUGAGACUGUCCUGUGAGUUUCCUACUCCUGUUGCAGCUCUGGGAAGACCAGCUUCCGCAUCCUCAAGGGUUUGGGAUGCGGGCGCAGAGCACUGACUGCUGCAGCCAUGGAGCAAACAGGCGAGUCCUGCACGUGUGCAGCUGAGGCAGUGGAAUUGGCUUUACCUUCAUCAUCCAGACCGAGGACAGCAAAGGCAAGGAACUGGUUCUGACUGACAGAGUAUGUUUGCUUUGGGUCCGUGUGACCCGUGGUGUCCAUGUCAAUCAGUAGCUGUUCAGUAGUUGUGAUGCUUGAGAACUGCUUUCAUGAAGCUCAAUGUAAAGAAACCAAACAAACACGCAGUGUCAUGUCGUGCUGAUGCUUUUGAAACCAGAUUACCUAGCAAAUGAGUGACAUUAUUCUGUAGGUAACAUAUAAACGUGAGGAUAACUAAUAGAAGAAAUAAUUAAAGGUAGAACAGACAAAAAAAAAAUGCAUCCUUGGAUGCUUGAUCUGUAUGGAUGUCCAGUACCUGCAGGGCUGCCACCAAAUACUGCCUGCUUGCCUCUGGUGACUGCAGCAUCAAACUAGCCUUUGGGUUCCUUGUAAUGACAAAGUCCACAGAGAAAGGUAAGAGCACUGAGGAAAGGAUUUAUGCUGGAAAUACAACUCAGCCUUACAGUGAACUAAGACACAGCUCUAGGAAUUUUGUAUAGUAAGCCGCAGCAGUCGUUUAACACUUAAAAAAUAACCUUUACUUUGCAGACAGAAACAGCUACUGGCAAUACACAUCUCAGUAACUUUAGACAUGAUUAUCUCUGCUUUUCUGUUGUCUUUGCAUGGUCUCUGAACAGGACAGUUUGGGGUGGUGGGAGGAGUGCUGUUGGGCAGUGUAGUUGGUGAUGGAGAUUCUGCACAGGGUGGGUGGAGCAAGCCUCUAGAAAUCACAGCAAGCUCAGAAGCCAGGGAGUAGAAGGCUGACAGGUGCCUGAAUUCAGCAGGAGCUGAUGCCUCAGACUGAGGUGGAAUAUUGCUAUCAAGGUAACAGCUGGAAUAAAAUCAACAGUGCCUAUUUAUCUGAUCCUGUAUCUACCUACAUACACACACACAGGAAACUCCUUACACAUAUCUACACAUACACACAUACCCUCAUGCUAGGAAGAGCAGAAGAAUUGCUAUUGAAAAAUAAUAGUAACCCAGCAGUUACUAGCUCGCAAUUCCACAGCUCUUAGCAUGCCCUCAACCUCCUCUGUUGUUUGGGGGUGGGGAGAGUGUUUUUAAUGGAAUUGUGAGUGAGCAAAUGGUGCUUCCAGGGCUAAGUCUGUAAUUACUGAUAAUCACGUUGAAACUCCAGCAAAUUCUGAUAGUGGUACGUGCUGCGUUUCCAGAGAAGGACUGAUAAAAGGCACAUAGGUGUGUUUGAUCCCCAAAAUAUAAUUUGAUUUGCCAGCAGAUUUGUGUGCACACGGCAUGUGAAAAUACCUGUUUGGAACUAUGAUCGUUGGCAAGACCUGAGGCUGGAAAUCAAAACCAGAGAAUCGUAAGUGAGCAGAGGACUUGAAGACAACUACAGAAUUCACAAGUAAUUGCUGCUUAACUGACAAGUACCUUCAUUUAUAUAAACAUGGAGGGUAACGAAGGAGAAGCUCUGCAUGCAGCCAGAAUGAAGGUAAUACCUCUGGCUAUCACGCACACCAGGCAGACUAGCCAAAGAAGCAUGACUUAAGUCUGAUGCAGGCUGCUCAGUUCAAACACUUCUAGCCAGCCAGCAUUUUAAACUUUAAUGCAGACAAGUAUGGUUGUGUUCAUCAACAGAUGAUAACUUAAUAUUUAGCUUAUUCCGGAAGCUCAUCAUCUUCAGCUCAUGCUGCUGCAAACUGCAGUAUGCUGCAGCUGGUCUCCAGAAACAGGUCUGCUUAAAGCUUAGAGGAAUCUGAAGUAAAUGUAGUGUAGUUUGAAUGCUGCAGAAGAAAAAAAAAAGUAAAAGGCAAGCUAUUGCUGGAGUUAAGAAUAAAUUCCAAAUUCAGCUUAUCUAGCAAAGGGCUCAGACGUUCUCUUCUGCUUCAUCCAAGAAAGUCUUGCACUUGCUCCUUGGAAAAUUAGAGAUGAGAUGAAGCAUUUCAGGAAUGCUUCAACAAUGAACCUUUUUGUUUUUAAUGCAGAAAUGCUGAUCAUGCAGACUUUCAGAUGAUAAAAUGCCACAGCUUGUUUGUUUGAAAGGAUUGCUUCUUUACUUCAAACAGACCCUAAAUACUUUAAGAGGAAUACAAAGAUUUCAAGUGUUUUGAGAACCCAGAAGAGAUGUCCUGGUGCUGCAUUUCAGAUAGAGAGGAAUGCUUUGCUUUCACAGAAACCAAUGUGUUUCACGUUCUAGUCAUUGUGGUUGCUGUGCUACCUGAGCACAGC